rfam:Sarcophilus harrisii ctg7180002489146, whole genome shotgun sequence.
CAGUGCAGUCACCCAUAAAGUAGAAAGCACUACUAACAGCAAUGUAGGGUGUAGUGUUUCCUACUUUAUGGAUGAGUGUACUGU